rnacentral:rRNA from 1 species
UCUUACGGGAGGCAGCAGUGGGGAAUAUUGGACAAUGGGCGGAAGCCUGAUCCAGCCAUGCCGCGUGUGUGAAGAAGGCCUUUUGGUUGUAAAGCACUUUAAGCGAGGAGGAGGCUCCUUUAGUUAAUACCUAAAGAGAGUGGACGUUACUCGCAGAAUAAGCACCGGCUAACUCUGUGCCAGCAGCCGCGGUAAUACAGAGGGUGCGAGCGUUAAUCGGAUUUACUGGGCGUAAAGCGUGCGUAGGCGGCUUUUUAAGUCGGAUGUGAAAUCCCUGAGCUUAACUUAGGAAUUGCAUUCGAUACUGGAAAGCUAGAGUAUGGGAGAGGAUGGUAGAAUUCCAGGUGUAGCGGUGAAAUGCGUAGAGAUCUGGAGGAAUACCGAUGGCGAAGGCAGCCAUCUGGCCUAAUACUGACGCUGAGGUACGAAAGCAUGGGGAGCAAACAGGAUUAGAUACCCUGGUAGUCCAUGCCGUAAACGAUGUCUACUAGCCGUUGGGGCCUUUGAGGCUUUAGUGGCGCAGCUAACGCGAUAAGUAGACCGCCUGGGGAGUACGGUCGCAAGACUAAAACUCAAAUGAAUUGACGGGGGCCCGCACAAGCGGUGGAGCAUGUGGUUUAAUUCGAUGCAACGCGAAGAACCUUACCUGGCCUUGACAUACUAAGAACUUUCCAGAGAUGGAUUGGUGCCUUCGGGAACUUAGAUACAGGUGCUGCAUGGCUGUCGUCAGCUCGUGUCGUGAGAUGUUGGGUUAAGUCCCGCAACGAGCGCAACCCUUUUCCUUAUUUGCCAUCGGGUAAUGCCGGGAACUUUAAGGAUACUGCCAGUGACAAACUGGAGGAAGGCGGGGACGACGUCAAGUCAUCAUGGCCCUUACGGCCAGGGCUACACACGUGCUACAAUGGUCGGUACAAAGGGUUGCUACCUCGCGAGAGGAUGCUAAUCUCAAAAAGCCGAUCGUAGUCCGGAUCGCAGUCUGCAACUCGACUGCGUGAAGUCGGAAUCGCUAGUAAUCGCGGAUCAGAAUGCCGCGGUGAAUACGUUCCCGGGCCUUGUACACACCGCCCGUCACACCAUGGGAGUUUGUUGCUCCUAUGGUACUUAUCUCAACUGUGUGGAGUACUGAUCACGCUGUAGA